rnacentral:tRNA from 1 species
UAAAAGGUAUGCUAUAUGUAAGCAUACGGGCUCAUACCCUGUCGAAAAGAGUUUUCUUCCUUUUAA